rnacentral:rRNA from 1 species
GGUUACCUUGUUACGACUUCACCCCAGUCAUGAAUCACAAAGUGGUAAGCGCCCUCCCGAAGGUUAAGCUACCUACUUCUUUUGCAACCCACUCCCAUGGUGUGACGGGCGGUGUGUACAAGGCCCGGGAACGUAUUCACCGUGGCAUUCUGAUCCACGAUUACUAGCGAUUCCGACUUCAUGGAGUCGAGUUGCAGACUCCAAUCCGGACUACGACGCACUUUAUGAGGUCCGCUUGCUCUCGCGAGGUCGCUUCUCUUUGUAUGCGCCAUUGUAGCACGUGUGUAGCCCUGGUCGUAAGGGCCAUGAUGACUUGACGUCAUCCCCACCUUCCUCCAGUUUAUCACUGGCAGUCUCCUUUGAGUUCCCGGCCGGACCGCUGGCAACAAAGGAUAAGGGUUGCGCUCGUUGCGGGACUUAACCCAACAUUUCACAACACGAGCUGACGACAGCCAUGCAGCACCUGUCUCACGGUUCCCGAAGGCACAUUCUCAUCUCUGAAAACUUCCGUGGAUGUCAAGACCAGGUAAGGUUCUUCGCGUUGCAUCGAAUUAAACCACAUGCUCCACCGCUUGUGCGGGCCCCCGUCAAUUCAUUUGAGUUUUAACCUUGCGGCCGUACUCCCCAGGCGGUCUACUUAACGCGUUAGCUCCGGAAGCCACGCCUCAAGGGCACAACCUCCAAGUAGACAUCGUUUACGGCGUGGACUACCAGGGUAUCUAAUCCUGUUUGCUCCCCACGCUUUCGCACCUGAGCGUCAGUCUUUGUCCAGGGGGCCGCCUUCGCCACUGGUAUUCCUCCAGAUCUCUACGCAUUUCACCGCUACACCUGGAAUUCUACCCCCCUCUACAAGACUCAAGCCUGCCAGUUUCGAAUGCAGUUCCCAGGUUGAGCCCGGGGAUUUCACAUCCGACUUGACAGACCGCCUGCGUGCGCUUUACGCCCAGUAAUUCCGAUUAACGCUUGCACCCUCCGUAUUACCGCGGCUGCUGGCACGGAGUUAGCCGGUGCUUCUUCUGCGGGUAACGUCAAUUGCUGUGGUUAUUAACCACAACACCCUCCUCCCCGCUGAAAGUACUUUACAACCCGAAGGCCUUCUUCAUACACGCGGCAUGGCUGCAUCAGGCUUGCGCCCAUUGUGCAAUAUUCCCCACUGCUGCCUCCCGUAGGAGUCUGGACCGUGUCUCAGUUCCAGUGUGGCUGGUCAUCCUCUCAGACCAGCUAGGGAUCGUCGCCUUGGUGAGCCGUUACCUCACCAACUAGCUAAUCCCAUCUGGGCACAUCUGAUGGCAAGAGGCCCGAAGGUCCCCCUCUUUGGUCUUGCGACGUUAUGCGGUAUUAGCCACCGUUUCCAGUAGUUAUCCCCCUCCAUCAGGCAGUUUCCCAGACAUUACUCACCCGUCCGCCACUCGUCAGCAAAGCAGCAAGCUGCUUCCUGUUACCGUUCGACUUGCAUGUGUUAGGCCUGCCGCCAGCGUUCAAUCUGAGCCAGGAUCAAACUCU